ACCUGACUGGCUUAGUUGAUAGAGCAUGAGACUCUUAAUCUCAGGGUCAUGAGUUCAAGCCCCAUCAUGGGCA
rnacentral:tRNA from 1 species